CUGCCUUUUCCAGCAUGAGAUUAUUCACUCGACGAUGUCACGACUCCCAAGUCUGAUGUCAUGGUUGUUUCCACAGCAACCAAAUUGAAUCAAGGAAUUAAAAACCAGGAGGAACUCACACAGAAUGGCAACACAACACAGGAGUGCCAUGAAGCAAGCCAUACCCUGCACAUGAUCCAAGAUCUCAACACGCCCAGCUGGUACAGUGCUAGCAUAGCUCAGCGAGGAAUAGCACAGCAUUGGAAACUCAGCACCUUGGCAUUGCACUGCUUUCUGAAUCCUGAUUAAAGGACACAAAAACGUGGUGGCACUGCAGGACUACUCCCGCUGGGGAUUAGGGUAGGGUUGCAGGGAGUGUCUCCUCCCACUGCAGCCCCUGUUUCCAUGCAGCCUCAGGGCACCUGGUGCAACCUCUGCCCACCUACAGGUGCCCAGCAGAGCUGCAGCUCCCCUUGGCCUGUGCAAUAUUCAGUGCUCAGAGACUGUGCUGCUCCUUGCUGGAGGAAGCCUGUAUUGCUAAUGGGAGAGGACAGAAGGAUGCAAGAUGAGCUGCUGUGCCAAGACUGCAUCAUUCUUUUCAGCCUCAGAGGUUUCCCCUAGACCCUCCUGCACUCAUCUUCCUCACCUGCAGGAGAUGCAUGCCUUGCCUUUCACUUGCCACAUGCAUCCUGCUCACUGUGCUUCAGUUUCUGAUGAUGCUGAAUACUCUCUUGCCCAACCCAAAGCCCCAAACCACCCCACUGUCCCACCCCUGUGUGAUACACCCUUUUCAGCACCCCACUGCAAAUGCUGGAGCAAAAAGUCCUGCUCCCCUAGCCAGACUGGGGCGAUCCAUGGCACACAGAGCAGGCAGCCCUCCUCAUAUGAAGGCUGCUUGAAGGAGAGUAUUUUUGCUGUGUCAGCAUCUCUGCUUCUCUAUCCCCUGUGUUUGCUGAUUGCAUCCUUGAAGCGUCACUGUCACGUUAGGUUUUCAGCAUGGAGCUGAGCCCUGAGCUCGGAGGGACAUGGAAAUCUGGGGAGGUCUUCUUCAGCAGAGUGCGAGAGGGGACAAAAAAAAAAGAGAAAGAGAAGGAACAACAUCUGCCUCCUCCUCCUGCCUUCUCCUUCCAUUCAACAGCAAGGCUCUUGCUCGAUUGGUAUGUGAUUGCUGAUGCUGUGAGAAGUGCUUGGGAGCCACCAGGUCAGGAUAAAGAGUCAGCACUGCCUACUCUGGGGCAAGGUGGAGGAACUUGGCAGAACCCCAGGACCUGGCAGCACACUCCUGGCAGUGCAGGAACCGAUGCUCGCACCAAGGAUGUGCCAUUCUCCAAAUCACUGCUGCUCACAGAGCUGCUGAAGAUAAACUUGACCUGUGUUACUGUGUCCAUCCUUUGGGUAUGCUGGAGAAAUCACUCCAGCUCUGUUCAACACCUGGGGCUGCACGUGGACUUCUAAUUAGACUUCCAGUGAGUUCAUUUCGUGCCCAGAUGCAGCUGGAAGCCCCGUAGCCUGGCGCUGCUCCUCUUUCCCUGAUGAGAACACACCCCUGCCAGGAGCCUGGGGCUGGUGGCACUGCACAGAUCCCACAGCUCUACCCAUUGCAUUCCAUUUGGAAGGGGCCAAACACCUCUGCUUGUGCAGUCCCACCCCAAAGACCUUGCGAGUGUCUCCUAUCCUUCACCAGCAGCCGUGGCGGUCGGGCUGCCGCGCUUCAUUUCCUGCAGAAUUUCAGCUGCUUCGGUAUUUAUCAAGAGCAUCUGUUAGGCAAUCUGGAGGGGAGCGGUAAUGGGGCCAUUAGUGCGCGUGAGGAGGGAGGUUCUCAGCUGCACCGAGGCCAGGCAAGAGGAGGCUGUGUGCUGCUCGGGGUGUCGUGACCUUGAGUAGUCGCUGAUGAGCGAUGCUGUGUGUCUCAGAGCAGAAAUGACAGCGAUGAUGCUGCUCUGAAUAGAUGUGCUCUGGUCACUGGGCCUGGAGAGGGAUGCAGGGGAUGGAUCGUUAGAAACAAUCAGCGUCUCAGGGCUGGGCUCUUGCAGAGAGGCUGUGCCCAAGCAGAGGGAAGAAGCACGAGGUAAACCACGUAGGAGUGCAUGCGCUUUCCUCUAAAGGUCAUCCUUCAGAUGGGGCCUUUUCCGCCCUCACUGAUCCACUGUUGGUACUCGUGGGCUCCACGGAGGUGAGCAAUAGUGUGCGUAAGAAAUGGAACUCUACGAUUAGUGACAUGUGCAACACAUAAACCCCAGUACCGAACUCCUCUGCAUAUACAACAGCUCAGCAGGACCCACAGUGCCCACAGCAUUGUCCACCGGGCCCUAUCCCUACUUCCCAGCUUGCAGCUGCAGCCUUCCCAAAUUUCCAGCCAUUUCCUGCCACAGCAGCAGCAAUGCAGUGCCUCUUGCUCUGCGUUUGGCCCCAUGCUCUGCAGGGCAGCUGUGUUGUGGCACGGUGCUGGCUGUGCAGGAA
ensembl:lncRNA